rnacentral:rRNA from 1 species
AUGUGAUCGUCUCUCGCAUAUCAAUAAGCGGAGGAAAAGAAACUAACAAGGAUUCCCCUAGUAACGGCGAGUGAAGCGGGAAGAGCUCAAAUUUGAAAUCUUAAAGGGUUUCCCUUUACGAAUUGUAGUUUAAAGAAGUGUUUUCUGUUGAGGUUUUGGUAAAAGUUCUUUGGAAUAGGACAUCAUAGAGGGUGAGAAUCCCGUAUUUGACCUUUACUUUCAACUUUGUGAUACACUUUCAAAGAGUCGGAUUGUUUGGGAAUGCAGUCCAAAAUGGGUGGUAAAUUUCAUCUAAAGCUAAAUAUUGGCGAGAGACCGAUAGCGAACAAGUACCGUGAGGGAAAGAUGAAAAGAACUUUGAAAAGAGAGUUAAACAGUACGUGAAAUUGUCAAAAGGGAAGCGUUUGACACCAGUGUUGUUUUUCUGAAAAUCAAUUAAAGAACUGUUUAUGCUAAGCUGUUUAGACUUUAUCAGCUAACUGUUUAGUUUUGAGCUUUUCUUUAAUGCACUUUUCAGUUAACAAGUCAACAUCAAUUUCUUUUGCUGUAAAAAAGCUUGAGGAAGGUGGCUUGAGAUUCGUCUUAAGUGUUUAUAGCCUCUUGCCUAUGCAGUCGGAGAGAUUGAGGUCUGCAGCGUAGAUCCUUCGGGGCUAAAUGCAUUUGUGCUAGUUAUAGCAUUUUAUAGACAACUUGUUGACUAUGAUUUGUCUUGUAGCUUACUCGCUUAUGUUAUUUUACCUACGCUUAGGAUGUUGAACGCGCACAGAGUCUC